UGCAGCGACGCCGCGUGAGGGAUGACGGCCUUCGGGUUGUAAACCUCUUUCAGCAGGGACGAAGCGUAAGUGACGGUACCUGCAGAAGAAGCACCGGCCAACUACGUGCCAGCAGCCGCGGUAAGACGUAGGGUGCGAGCGUUGUCCGGAUUUAUUGGGCGUAAAGAGCUCGUAGGCGGCUUGUCGCGUCGACCGUGAAAACUUGGGGCUCAACCCCAAGCCUGCGGUCGAUACGGGCAGGCUAGAGUUCGGUAGGGGAGACUGGAAUUCCUGGUGUAGCGGUGAAAUGCGCAGAUAUCAAGAGGAACACCGGUGGCGAAGGCGGGUCUCUGGGCCGAUACUGACGCUGAGGAGCGAAAGCGUGGGGAGCGAACAGGAUUAGAUACCCUGGUAGUCCACGCUGUAAACGUUGGGCGCUAGGUGUGGGGGGCCCCUCCGGUUCUCUGUGCCGCAGCUAACGCAUUAAGCGCCCCGCCUGGGGAGUACGGCCGCAAGGCUAAAACUCAAAGGAAUUGACGGGGGCCCGCACAAGCGGCGGAGCAUGCGGAUUAAUUCGAUGCAACGCGAAGAACCUUACCUGGGUUUGACAUGGCCGCAAAACUUGCAGAGAUGUAAGGUCCUUC
rnacentral:rRNA from 1 species